GUAUGGUAUUUAUUUUUUUAUAUUUUAUUGAGGAUGUCGUAGGAUACCUGCCAUUUAAGGAAAUGAAUAGAAAAUUUAAAACCCCCAAAAAAUGAGAAAAAGAGAAAUUCAGU